AUGGCGUCUCUUCUUCUCCCUCCUCAGUUCGCUUGCUCCCUGCCUUAUUACUGCAUCAGGGGUCAGUUACAUUAUAAGCCCACCAUUUGGGGAAAGAAUACGACGAAGACCAAAAUGGGGUUGCUUCACCGCAAUGUGAGUUUUGUGUCAAAGAAGAGUUCUCAAGAUGUAGAGGAAGGCUCAAGUGGUGAAGACAGUGAUGCUGAAACCCCAAAGACCAAGAAAAAACAUGCAAAACGUGGAAGAAAGAAAGCCACCAUCGAUGCAUCAGAAGGGGAAACAAAAGAAGGCCAAAGUGACACUGAAGAUGCAUCCCCUGAAGAGCCUAAGAAAGUUAAAAAGAGAGGUCGGAAGAAAGCUGCUACUACUGCAUCCUCUCCGGAGGAGGCUGACAAGCCAAAAGAACCAAAAAAGAGGGGCAGAAGAAAAGUUAAGAUGGUUGAACAAUUAAGUGAUGAUGAAGGAGAAGAUCAAAGCAAAGAUUUGAUGCCGUCUAAUGAAAUAGAAGUUCACAGUUCAGCCAAUGAUCUUGAAAGUAAAGUAGAGGCAUUGUUAUCACAAGAUAUUGAAGAGGUUGACAAAUUAGUGCCUCUUGUCUGCUGCUUUGGACCAGCUAAGUACUCAUUUGUUCCUUCUGGAAGACCUGCUAAAAGGUUGGUGGAUCGUGAGAUUCAUAGUAGGAUGAAGGAUAUGUUCUGGUCUCCUGAUGAAUUUGUGAGGGCACCUGGAGGGUCGUCAUCCAAUGUUGCCCUUGCUCUAGCAGCUCUUGGAGGCCGGGUUGUGUUCAUGGGAAAAUUAGGUGAUGAUGAGUAUGGUCAGAGUAAUGCUGUAUCACUUAAAUGUCAACGGAGUUCAAACUUGAGCAGUUUGUUUGGAUCCUUCAGCGCCAACUGCCAUGUCCUUAAUGAAGGUGACCAGCAGAGGUAG
rnacentral:rRNA from 1 species